GUCUAUGUCCAUACUACCCUGAGCACACCUGACCUCAUCUGAUCUCAGAAGCUAAACAGGGUCGGGCCUGGUUAGUACUUGGAUGGAAGACUAAUUGGUAACAAGAAGUGUCAAUUAUAGACA
rnacentral:rRNA from 1 species